UACGGGGGGGGCAAGCGUUGUCCGGAAUCAUUGGGCGUAAAGAGCGUGUAGGCGGCUUGCUAAGUCUUGCGUGAAAUCUCGGGGCUCAACCCCGAGCGGUCGUGGGAAACUGGCAGGCUAGAGUGCGGGAGAGGAGAAUGGAAUUCCUGGUGUAGCGGUGAAAUGCGCAGAUAUCAGGAAGAACACCCGUGGCGAAGGCGGUUCUCUGGAACGCAACUGACGCUGAGACGCGAAAGCGUGGGGAGCAAACAGG
rnacentral:rRNA from 1 species